rnacentral:rRNA from 1 species
AUUGAACGCUGGCGGCAGGCCUAACACAUGCAAGUCGAACGAGUGGAAGACGGGUGUGUAAUGUCUGGAAACCUGCCCGAUGGAGGGGGAUAACUACUGGAAACGGUAGCUAAUCCCGCAUACCAUCGGAUGUGCCCAGAUGGGAUGAGCUCGUAGGUGGGGUAAUGGCUCACCUAGGCGACGAUCCCUAGCUGGUCUGAGAGGGUGACCAGCCACACUGGGACUGAGAUACGGUCCAGACUCCUACGGGAGGCAGCAGUGGGGAAUAUUGCACAAUGGGCGAAAGCCUGAUGCAGCCAUGCCGCGUGUAUGAAGAAGGCCUUCGGGUUGUAAAGUACUUUCAGCGAGGAGGCGUUACUCGCAGAAGAAGCACCGGCUAACUCCGUGCCAGCAGCCGCGGUAAUAC